rnacentral:rRNA from 1 species
UACGAAGGGGGCAAGCGUUGUUCGGAAUUACUGGGCGUAAAGCGUGCGCAGGCGGUUCGUUGUGUCGGCGGUGAAAGCCCCGGGCUCAACCUGGGAAUGGCCGUUGAAACUGGCGAACUGGAGUGUGGCAGAGGGGGGUGGAAUUCCGCGUGUAGCAGUGAAAUGCGUAGAGAUGCGGAGGAACACCGAUGGCGAAGGCAGCCCCCUGGGCUGACACUGACGCUCAGGCACGAAAGCGUGGGGAGCAAACAGG